CAGUGGCGCACGGGUGAGUAACGCGUGGAUAAUCUACCCUUGAAUUCGGAAUAACAUCGCGAAAGCGGUGCUAAUACCGGAUGAUGUUGUGUUUUCUUCGGGGAAUACAGCCAAAGAAUGCCUCUUCUUGAAAGCAUUUGUUUGAGGAUGAGUCCGCGUCCCAUUAGCUAGUUGGCGGGGUAAAGGCCCACCAAGGCAGUGAUGGGUAGCUGGUCUGAGAGGAUGAUCAGCCACACUGGGACUGACACACGGCCCAGACUCCUACGGGAGGCAGCAGUGAGGAAUUUUGCGCAAUGGGGGCAACCCUGACGCAGCAACGCCGCGUGAGUGAAGAAGGCCCUUGGGUCGUAAAGCUCUGUCAAUGGGGAAGAAAUUGCAGGGUUCUAACAGGGCUUUGUAUUGACGGCACCCAUGAAGGAAGCACCGGCUAACUCCGUGCCAGCAGCCGCGGUAAUACGGAGGGUGCAAGCGUUAUUCGGAAUUAUUGGGCGUAAAGGGCGCGUAGGCGGCCUGUUAAGUCAUAUGUGAAAUUUUGGGGCUUAACC
rnacentral:rRNA from 1 species